rnacentral:rRNA from 1 species
GGGGAUAACACUUAGAAAUAGGUGCUAAUACCGCAUAAGCGCACGGUUCCGCAUGGAACAGUGUGAAAAACUCCGGUGGUAUACGAUGGAUCCGCGUCUGAUUAGCCAGUUGGCGGGGUAACGGCCCACCAAAGCGACGAUCAGUAGCCGGCCUGAGAGGGUGAACGGCCACAUUGGGACUGAGACACGGCCCAAACUCCUACGGGAGGCAGCAGUGGGGAAUAUUGCACAAUGGGGGAAACCCUGAUGCAGCGACGCCGCGUGAGUGAAGAAGUGUCUCGGUACGUAAAGCUCUAUCAGCAGGGAAGAAAACGACGGUACCUGAUUAAGAAGCCCCGGCUAACUACGUGCCAGCAGCCGCGGUAAUACGUAGGGGGCAAGCGUUAUCCGGAUUUACUGGGUGUAAAGGGAGCGUAGACGGCAGCGCAAGUCUGGAGUGAAAUGCCGGGGCCCAACCCCGGAACUGCUUUGGAAACUGUGCAGCUCGAGUGCAGGAGAGGUAAGCGGAAUUCCUAGUGUAGCGGUGAAAUGCGUAGAUAUUAGGAGGAACACCAGUGGCGAAGGCGGCUUACUGGACUGUAACUGACGUUGAGGCUCGAAAGCGUGGGGAGCAAACAGGAUUAGAUACCCUGGUAGUCCACGCCGUAAACGAUGAU